GCCUAGUUGGUGGUAUAGUGGUGAACAUAGCUGCCUUCCAAGCAGUAGACCUGGGUUCAAUCCCCAGCCAACGCA